UACGUAGGGGGCGAGCGUUGUCCGGAAUCAUUGGGCGUAAAGCGCGUGUAGGCGGUUCGAUAAGUCUGCUGUGAAAGUCCAGGGCUCAACCCUGGGAUGCCGGUGGAUACUGUCGGACUAGAGUACGGAAGAGGCGAGUGGAAUUCCCGGUGUAGCGGUGAAAUGCGCAGAUAUCGGGAGGAACACCAAUUGCGAAGGCAGCUCGCCGUGGACGUUACUGACGCUGAGACGCGAAAGCGUGGGGAGCAAACAGGG
rnacentral:rRNA from 1 species